rnacentral:rRNA from 1 species
UAUUGGACAAUGGGCGAGAGCCUGAUCCAGCCAUGCCGCGUGCAGGAAGAAGGCCUUCUGGGUUGUAAACUGCUUUUGCCGGGGGAUAAAAUACCCAUGCGUGGGGAAUUGAAGGUACCCGGUGAAUAAGCCACGGCUAACUACGUGCCAGCAGCCGCGGUAAUACGUAGGUGGCGAGCGUUGUCCGGAUUUAUUGGGUUUAAAGGGUGCGUAGGCGGCCCCGUUAGUCAGCGGUGAAAUACGUCAGCUUAACUGUCGAGGUGCCGUUGAUACUGCGGGGCUUGAGUGCGGUCGAGGAGGGCGGAAUUGACGGUGUAGCGGUGAAAUGCUUAGAUAUCGUCAAGAACACCGAUAGCGAAGGCAGCCCUCCAGGCCGCAACUGACGCUGAGGCACGAAA